rnacentral:rRNA from 1 species
UUAUCUCUGUAGAGUCUGCAUAUCAAUAAGCGGAGGAAAAGAAACUAACAAGGAUUCCCUUAGUAACGGCGAGUGAAGCGGGAAGAGCUCAAAUUUGAAAUCUUCAAGGUUCUACCUUGACGAAUUGUAGUUUAAAGAAGUGUUUUCUGUUAGUGGAGUGGCAAAAGUUCUUUGGAAUAGGACAUCAUAGAGGGUGAGAAUCCCGUAUUUGGUCAUUCCUUCUAGCUUUGUGAUACACUUUCAAAGAGUCGGAUUGUUUGGGAAUGCAGUCCAAAAUGGGUGGUAAAUUUCAUCUAAAGCUAAAUACUGGCGAGAGACCGAUAGCGAACAAGUACCGUGAGGGAAAGAUGAAAAGAACUUUGAAAAGAGAGUUAAACAGUACGUGAAAUUGUCAAAAGGGAAGCGUUUGACACCAGUGUUGCUUUUCUCGAAAAUCAAUUAAAAAUGCUGGAUUUUGUGUUGUAUUGACUUUAUCAGCUUUCUGCACUCUUUUUCCUACCUUUUUUAAUGCACUUUUCGUUUAACAAGUCAACAUCAAUUUCUUUUGUUGUAAAAGAGUCAUUGGAAGGUGGCUUUCUUUUCGGAGAAAGUGUUUAUAGCCUUUGGACUUCUGCAAUCGGAGAGAUUGAGGUCUGCAGCGUAGAUCCUUCGGGGUUAGAUACAUUUGUGCUAAGUUAUAGCCUUUCAUAGACAACUUGUUGACUAUGAUCAGUCAUGUAGCUUACUCGCUUAUGCUAUUUUACCUACGCUUAGGAUGUUGAGUAGCGACAUACGCAC